UAUUUGCAUUAUUUUUUUCAUAAUUUCUUAUUUGAGAUUUGUAUUAAACAAUCUAUUUUAGAUGAUAAUGAAGGCCAUGUUGGAGGCAGUAUGGGUUAUCACCUGUAAUGCUCUAAUGGAUGGAAUAUGUAUCAUUUCCUUAAUUUUGAAAAAUUAAUUCAUGAAAGAUUUUUUUUCAAAUUUUAGAAUUGAUUUUUACACCUCUGUGCUUAUUAUUGUAGAAGCAGACAUAAUUUUCACAGAAUAGAGUAUAAUUGGCAAAAAUAUAAAGAAUAGAGAAAAAUGGACGAAAAAAUAAAGAAUAGAGAAUAAUGAGUUGCUAAAAUAUAAUGGACAGAGAAUAUAACGGGCUAAAAAAAUAAAGAAUACAGAAAUGAAGGACCCCCAUCCAGACCCUCUCAUAUUGGCAAAGUUGAUGAGGAGAUUUAUGAAAUGUUAUACCACGAAGACAAACCGAUGAGAAAAGUUCAAGCAGAAGCUUUGAACUAUCAAAUUGGAAUAUGUUAGUAUACUGCAUGAAUUAGACCAGCUACUUAACCCUAACAUGAGUAUAACAGGCUGUCCGAGUCAACAGAUAGCUGGUAUUGUCGCGAAUGUAUACUUCCUAAUUUUACAGAUUCGUAUUUUGAAUUUGAAUCUGAAUUUUGCUCAGAUGAACAAUCAAACACACACUUAGAAGAAGCUACUUCCGGUGUACACAAAAAACACGUUUCAGCAACUGAGGGAUUCUAGACGUAAUCACCACAAGAACUUUAUAGCUGCUUUCUUAAAUAUAAAUAGCCUGAGGUAAAAACUUAAUGAAAUACAAGACCUAUUACAUGACAAAAUCGUAGAUCUGAUAUUUAUAGCCGAGACGAAACUUGAUGAGACUUUCAAUGAUAGUUUAUUUAUGGUUGAAGGCUACAAACUCUUUAGACGUGACCGAACCGAAGUCUGGAGGAGGUAUGCUUGCCCUUAUAAGUAGUGACAUCCCGUCAAGUAGACAGCAACAAAUUGAGUCCAAAGACCUUGAAAACAUUUCCAUUGAGGUCCACAUCAACGACAGAAAAUGGCUAAUAAUGGGAAUGUAUAAACCACCAUCAGUGACUGAUUUUUUAAUGAUACAUUUUCAAAAAACUUAGAUCAGUGUCUAGUAAAAUAUGAAAAUUAUAUGAUUUUUGGUGACCUUAA